UUAACGAAGAGAAACAAAAGAAAAUUGAAAAACAAUAAGUUUGUAGAGAGCGAACAGCUGAUAACACAUUCCGCCAUUAUUCGCACGGUACACAAUAAUUAUAUCUAACAAAACAAAACUCCAAUUAAAAAUUGAGAGACAAUUAAAAACAAAACCUAGUAGGCUCCCAUACAGAAUUAAUAAUGUCAAUUGUUUUUACAACAUUUUCAUUACAAAUUUGUUCGUUGUUGUGUUUGGUAGCAAUGGUCUUGUAUUAAAUAUAUAUUUUAUAUUGUAAAAUUGGACUUCAAAAUAUUGCAAAAUUGCAAGUAUUUAAAAUUUAAUUGAAUUCGCAAACGAGAAGGCGGCAAUCAACUCAGUUUCAGUGUAAACUAGUAAGAUACUGCGUAAUAUUAUUGUUUAUACGUACAUGCGUGCAUACAUACACACAGUAUAGAUAUACAACAUUAAUUGUUUAAAAUAACAUAAGACAACAACAAAUACACAAAGACAAGCCAUUUUAUUUUGUUAUUGAUUUAGUUACGCUAACGGAUUAACAAUACAACAGUAUAAAGCAACAAAUUCUCAGAUAAUUAAAUUAUA